rnacentral:rRNA from 1 species
UACGUAGGGGGCAAGCGUUGUUCGGAAUUACUGGGCGUAAAGGGCGCGUAGGCGGCACGGCAAGUCAGGAGUGAAAGCCCUGGGCUCAACCCGGGAACUGCUUUUGAAACUGCCGAGCUAGAGUGCGGAAGGGGCAACUGGAAUUCCCAGUGUAGCGGUGAAAUGCGUAGAUAUUGGGAAGAACACCUGAGGCGAAGGCGGGUUGCUGGGCCGACACUGACGCUGAGG